AUAACUUAAAUACAGCCGCAAAAACAUAAACAUAGAAAGGCAGUAUAGUAGCGUAUAGCCCGUUCCGGGAAUAAUUGAUUUGUUCGUUCGCGCUUUAGAGUAACGAGUGCAAAAAAAAGAACACCUGAAGACGAACUCGUGACAGCAAUUAUCGGAUAAAAUUAAGCUGAAGGAUGGAACGUACCGUUAAAGCGCCAGCAUAUGGGGUGCCAUCGUAUCUACCUGUUUCGACUGGGAGGUUAUGGUUAGCUGUUCUGAUUUUGAACAGGCUACUUCGCUCACGCUGAGGCAAAAGUGUAAGAUCCGUAGGUCAGAAUAGGGAGCACAGUGUGGUCAAAGAGCUUUAUAAUGAGGUCGAUUGGGAGGCUGGCAUUGUUUGCCCUUGUGAAAAGUAAGUGCAUGGCUUUGGUUGCUUGUUCUGCUAUAUGUUUGCGUGCUUUAAGAAAUGAUCCAUUGCUUGAGAAAGUGAGACCAAGAUAAUGAUAGUUGUCUGUUAUCUCAAUAGGUGUAUUACCUAUGUAAAAAUUGAAGUUUUGUAAUUGUCUUGCUCCGAAUAUUAUUAUUUUAGUUUUGUUAUAAUUAAUAUUAAGGUGCCAGUUGUUGCAAUAUUCAUGGAAAGUGUUAAGGCUAUUCUGGAAGUCAUUUUGGCAAUCGGAAAGUAAUAUAGUGUCAUCAGCAUAGAGUAAAAUAAGGAGUUUAAGCCACAAUGUUAGGUCUAAGGGGUCGUUUAACUCUACACCGACAGAACCAUUCAGAUUUAAAGAUGAUUGCAUAUCAUUCAGGAACAAAGAAAACAGAAGUGGGGAAAGGUUUUCUCCUUGUCUGACUCCAAUUUCUGAAAUAAAUGUAGGAGAGACAGUGCCAUUGUGUGAGAUACAGGAUUUAAUAUUACUAUACAUGCUAAAAAUGAUGUUAAAAAAUUUACCGUUUAUUGAGGUUUUUAGAAGCUUGUGCCAGAGGCCUACUCUCCAUACCUUAUCGAACGCCUGCGAGAAAUCAAUAAAUGCACAAUAGAGUUUUUGUUUCCGUUUUUUUAGUAUUUCUAUUAAAGAGUGUAGUGUAAAAAUAUGGUCGCUGCAAGAAUAACCUUUUCUGAAUCCUGCUUGGUUUUCAUCUAGAAGAUUGUUGUUUUCCAAGAAUUGAGUUAAUCUUUGAUUUAGUACAGAGGUGAACAGUUUUCCAAGACAGCUUAAUAUUGUUAU